UACGUAGGCAGCGAGCGUUGUUCGGAAUUACUGGGCGUAAAGAGUGUGUAGGCGGUGCUCUAAGUUCGGUGUGAAAUCUCCUGGCUUAACUGGGAGGGUGCGCCGGAAACUGGAGUGCUUGAGCGUGGGAGAGGAAAGCGGAAUUCCUGGUGUAGCGGUGAAAUGCGUAGAUAUCAGGAGGAGCACCUGUGGUGUAGACGGCUUUCUGGACCAUUGCUGACGCUGAGACACGAAAGCGUGGGUAGCAAACAGG
rnacentral:rRNA from 1 species